AUGCUCUUAUCAGGAUUUGAAUUUCCCAUUCCAGAUCCUACCCUUGGAUUCUGCUUCACGACAGCCCCAGGAUAUCUCUCCAGUCACUCCGGGAGCCACUCAUUUAUUGAUGUGCAAAGUGCUCUGCCUCUCAUACCCAAACCCACAGCGCCUGCGACCCCCAGCAGUGCACAGGAUCCUGCUGCACCCAGAAAUGAAGAAGUUUGCCCAGGAAUUAAAGCAAUCCCAUGCCCAGUGAAUGCAGGAGCCACGAGGAAGGAGAACCUUUAAAUCACCAGGAAGCUCUGACAAUGCAGACCCUACUGUGCAAGAUUGCUUUUAAAAAGCACUUACUUUUUAUGGCCUAAUUUAAGGCGACAUUGAACGUUCUCAGGAAAACCUCCCAGUCCCUCCAAGGGCCCUGCCCUGCUAAAGUGUCUGCAAGUCCUUUUCUGCAUUUUUUCCAAGUGGUCUGUGAGCCUCUUGGAGCUCACAGAUAAAAUUUGGAGUCAUCAUUGCUGGGAUAAAUCACCUGCCUGGGGGUGAAGUGAAUCCUGCAGGGCUCUGGUGGCCAGGGUUGCUUUUAUUUCACCCACACCGAUGCUGCUCUUGUUGUCUGACCUGUAACUGCUGCAGGGGAGGGUUGUGCUGGGGAAUGAUGGGCAGCUCAAGGCUUUGAAGAUCCCCAAAUUCAGCCCAGGAGCCGCGACAAACCAAGUCACUGCAUCCCAACCUCGGUGCUGCUCACAGGGAUUCUGUCUGGAUGGGAAUAUUUUGCUUUACAAGUGUUGUACAAGGAGCAGGUGGAGCAAUGUGCUUAAAGAUUCUGUGUGAGAAUUAAAACAUCCUCCCCUUUUAUAAGGUCUUGAAUUGAGGUUUUUUUAAUCCUAUUUUCCAACACAUUGAAAACACGGGGCUCUGCUGCUUAAACUCAACCAUGAAUUGAGGGCAAUCCCUCAGGCAGGGGCACCUCCAGAGCCUGAACCUAAAGGAG
rnacentral:lncRNA from 1 species